GCUGGGCAUGAUGGCUCAUGCCUGUAAUCCCAGCACUUUGGGAGGCUGAGGCAGGUGGAUCACAUGAGGUCAGGAGUUCGAGACCAGCCUGGCCAACAUGGUGAAACCCUGUCUCUA
rfam:Homo sapiens chromosome 4, GRCh38 reference primary assembly.